CUCUUAUGAACUGUAUUCCUUCACAGGAUGGAGGCUGCUACAGCUUGGUCAGUGCCAUCAGCCAUUUUGGCUCCACAGAAAUGGGACACUACAUCAGUGAAGGCAUCCACCCAGACUACAAUCCAGACGAACCAGAUGAUCAUUGGCUCACCUACAAUGAUUCAAUGGUCUUUGAGACGUCCGGCAAGUUAGUCUGUGAGCAGCAGGAGAGGGGUGCUAACAUCCUGUUCUACAGGAGAAUAGUGUAACCCAACUGACGACGUGAUGUCGGACUAAGAGACCUGGACACAGUCAAGACGUGAUGUCGGACUAAGGGACCUGGAUACACCACACAGAGACAGGAUGACCAUCAUGGAGCCAGGAGACCCGCCACGGGACAAGGAAGGUAAGUGAGUUUCUAA